UGCAGUAGAACGCUGAAGAGAGGAGCUUGCUCUUCUUGGAUGAGUUGCGAACGGGUGAGUAACGCGUAGGUAACCUGCCUUGUAGCGGGGGAUAACUAUUGGAAACGAUAGCUAAUACCGCAUAACAAUGGAUGACACAUGUCAUUUAUUUGAAAGGGGCAAUUGCUCCACUACAAGAUGGACCUGCGUUGUAUUAGCUAGUAGGUGAGGUAAUGGCUCACCUAGGCGACGAUACAUAGCCGACCUGAGAGGGUGAUCGGCCACACUGGGACUGAGACACGGCCCAGACUCCUACGGGAGGCAGCAGUAGGGAAUCUUCGGCAAUGGGGGCAACCCUGACCGAGCAACGCCGCGUGAGUGAAGAAGGUUUUCGGAUCGUAAAGCUCUGUUGUAAGUCAAGAACGGGUGUGAGAGUGGAAAGUUCACACUGUGACGGUAGCUUACCAGAAAGGGACGGCUAACUACGUGCCAGCAGCCGCGGUAAUACGUAGGUCCCGAGCGUUGUCCGGAUUUAUUGGGCGUAAAGCGAGCGCAGGCGGUUUGAUAAGUCUGAAGUUAAAGGCUGUGGCUCAACCAUAGUUCGCUUUGGAAACUGUCAAACUUGAGUGCAGAAGGGGAGAGUGGAAUUCCAUGUGUAGCGGUGAAAUGCGUAGAUAUAUGGAGGAACACCGGUGGCGAAAGCGGCUCUCUGGUCUGUAACUGACGCUGAGGCUCGAAAGCGUGGGGAGCGAACAGGAUUAGAUACCCUGGUAGUCCACGCCGUAAACGAUGAGUGCUAGGUGUUGGAUCCUUUCCGGGAUUCAGUGCCGCAGCUAACGCAUUAAGCACUCCGCCUGGGGAGUACGACCGCAAGGUUGAAACUCAAAGGAAUUGACGGGGGCCCGCACAAGCGGUGGAGCAUGUGGUUUAAUUCGAAGCAACGCGAAGAACCUUACCAGGUCUUGACAUCCCGAUGCUAUUUCUAGAGAUAGAAAGUUACUUCGGUACAUCGGUGACAGGUGGUGCAUGGUUGUCGUCAGCUCGUGUCGUGAGAUGUUGGGUUAAGUCCCGCAACGAGCGCAACCCCUAUUGUUAGUUGCCAUCAUUCAGUUGGGCACUCUAGCGAGACUGCCGGUAAUAAACCGGAGGAAGGUGGGGAUGACGUCAAAUCAUCAUGCCCCUUAUGACCUGGGCUACACACGUGCUACAAUGGUUGGUACAACGAGUUGCGAGUCGGUGACGGCGAGCUAAUCUCUUAAAGCCAAUCUCAGUUCGGAUUGUAGGCUGCAACUCGCCUACAUGAAGUCGGAAUCGCUAGUAAUCGCGGAUCAGCACGCCGCGGUGAAUACGUUCCCGGGCCUUGUACACACCGCCCGUCACACCACGAGAGUUUGUAACACCCGAAGUCGGUGAGGUAACCUUUGGAGCCAGCCGCCUAAG
rnacentral:rRNA from 1 species